rnacentral:rRNA from 1 species
UACGUAGGGGGCAAGCGUUGUCCGGAAUCAUUGGGCGUAAAGAGCGUGUAGGCGGCCCGAUAAGUCCGCUGUGAAAGUCCAGGGCUCAACCCUGGGAUGCCGGUCGAUACUGCCGGACUAGAGUUCGGAAGAGGCGAGUGGAAUUCCCGGUGUAGCGGUGAAAUGCGCAGAUAUCGGGAGGAACACCUAUGGCGAAGGCAGCUCGCUGGGACGUUACUGACGCUGAGGCACGAAGGUCAGGGGAGCAAACGGG